GACGAACGCUGGCGACGUGCUUAACACAUGCAAGUCGAACGGUAAGGCCCUUCGGGGUACACGAGUGGCGAACGGGUGAGUAACACGUGGGUGAUCUGCCCUGCACUUUGGGAUAAGCCUGGGAAACUGGGUCUAAUACCGAAUAGGACCAUGGACUUCACGGUUUGUGGUGGAAAGCUUUUGCGGUGUGGGAUGGGCCCGCGGCCUAUCAGCUUGUUGGUGGGGUGAUGGCCUACCAAGGCGACGACGGGUAGCCGGCCGGAGCGAGUGUCCGGCCAGACUGGGACUGCGAUACGGCCCAGACUCCUGCGGGGGGCAGCAGUGGGGAAUAUUGCACAAUGGGCGCAAGCCUGAUGCAGCGACGCCGCGUGGGGGAUGACGGCCUUCGGGUUGUAAACCUCCUUCAGUAGGGACGAAGCGCAAGUGACGGUACCUACAGAAGAAGCACCGGCCAACUACGUGCCAGCCGCCGCAGUAA
rnacentral:rRNA from 1 species